rnacentral:lncRNA from 10 species
CUGGCAGCAACCUGACACCUGUCAGGACCCAGCUGGAUGUUAUCCACCAUGGCUCUGAAGGUUUAAUCAGGGUGCUGAGAGAACCGCCACUUCUCCUGUCUGCUCUCCUGACUGUGAGCUUCACUUGGGCAGUGGCUGUGUGGGAUUCUUCUGUUCUUGGCACAUGGUGUGUUGUCUGGCACAUAAACAGCAGUUGAUAAAUAUUUGCUGAAUGAACAACUGUACUCCUCCACUCCAAGAGAGUGACAGAGUAAAGUCUCCCCACCCCGUUCCGUCCCCCACUAAAUCAGGGAGCCCUCCGGAAUUGGGAGAAUUGGACAGAAUGCCAAGGUUUGAAGGAUAAACACCAGCCUCCCAUCGGCAGCUUGACUAUCAUCCUGGCUUUAUCUGGCCAGUGAGAAUGAAAGGGGCUUUGUUACCAAGUGGACCAUUCCCAAACCGGCACGGUUCCCACUGUAAAGCCAGAAGGGGCUUUAGUGUCUUUUCAAGUUCUUUUCUAAACUCUCUUGAAUUUCAAGUCCCAGAGUCUGCUUUUCUUAUUGGAAAAUCUCCUGGUAUGAAGAGAUGGGGGGCAGGGAGCAAGAAACUCUAAGAGACACAUUCCCUGGAGGGCAGAGGAAACUGGAACUGUCUGCUGAAAUUAAUGGCUUUCUGCCUCAAAGGAACUGGAAGGAGGGCCUCCCAGGUGACCAAGGAAUCCACGGUCUCCCAGAAUCCAUUUAAAGGGAUGGAAGAUUGAUGUCCAUGGCAUCCUCUGAACCUAAGAUCCUAAGACAUGUCACCCAUAAUCUGGUCACACCAUCCAAAAGAAACCCUGAAGGCACAGGAACAUGAAAUGUUCAAACAUACUUUGAAGACAAAGCAUAUUUUCUUCUUGUUG